rnacentral:lncRNA from 1 species
AUGGGGCGGCGGGGCCUCAACCUGCAUCAGCUGCACCGCGAAAUGGCGGCCGGGGCACCAGGCGCCUCACAACACCUCCACCCCCGGCUUCAGGGCACCCGGGCGGGUCAGAAGAGAUCGUUUCCACACCGCUUAACAUGCAGCGAGCUCAACACGAGGAAUAGCUAUAAACAGAGGGGAGAUAAGCACGGAAACCCAGAGCUGAGACCACCACCCGACAUGGCGGCUGCUCCCACCCUCCGCGCGGAGGGGGCGGGACGGGGCGGGCCCAGGAGGCGCAUAAAGCGCGGUGCGAGGAGCCCAGCGGCCUCUUGCUGCGGCGCUGGGAGGCUAUUGAAGCGCGUUGGGUCUGCGUGAUGGACGGCUGCAGCUGCCUGCUUCGCUCUGCCAUGCCAGAGCUUCUGAUAGGCCUCUGUGAAAUCAGAGGGACAUUGGACGUGUUGGAGACCUGAUGAGGUGGCUGUAGCCAGCAGUAAAUCAGCUGUGCAAUGAACACAGUCAUCCUGGCUUGCACCACCAUGCAUGAACCUUUAACAGGUAAGAAUAGCAAGUCCGUAAGGCUUCUGUUUGAUGAUAUUUAACUAGUAAACAAACUCUUUAUGCAGAUCUGACUUCCAAGCUUGUUCAAUUACUGUCUUUGGAGACUGCUGUAUUGUGCAAUACAUAGCUUAAUGCUCAGUGAUGAAAGCACACAGGGUCAACUUGUGCAGAAGCCUUGCAGCAGGAGCCUUUGUGCCUUGUGUCACUCAUGUUUCAUCUUGUCUACAAUGGCAAAGUGUGACUGGUGAACAAAAAAGAAGCAUAUCAAGGCAUUACUAACUUGGUACUGGUGGAUUUAUAGCUGGUCCAUAUUUAUUUGUUUUAGAUAGUCUGUGCUCAUAGAACUCGUAACAGUCAUUCUACCUGGAGGCAUGGUACUGUGCUCAGAGCAGCUACCGUAGUAUGUUAUGGGGACCAUCCUGACAUGGAUUCCUUAGGAAGAGAGACUGUUGAGUUUGGGGUUUGAGUGCUAGCCAGCUUGAGUAAAUGUUGAGGGGGGGUUAGAUCCUAUUAGUGUUCAGUGGGGUCUGUAUGUAUGUGUGGCUUUGCUGCUUCUGCCAUUAGUUCACCAUUCUCUCUGAACCUGGUUAGGUAUGCAAAUGACUUAUGUAGGGCUGUGGUGGCUUUAGUAAUUUUUGCACUGCUGUGAUACAGUGAUGGGCAGGGGGGAGGGGGAGGGGGGGACAGGGGGGGGGGGGGGGGGGGGGGGGAGGGGGGGGGGGGGAGGGGGGGGGGGGAGUCUGAAUUUUAUUCACAUCAGAGCGCAGUGUUAGAUACUCAUCAUCUGCCCAGACUUGUCUGAUGCACCAGCGGAAAAAAAAAGCAUG